GGGCCUGUAGCUCAGUUGGUUAGAGCAGAGGACUCAUAAUCCUUUGGUCCACGGUUCAAGUCCGUGCGGGCCCACCA
rnacentral:tRNA from 27 species